AAAUCUGAAUUGUUCAAAAAUGUUUAAAUGAAGUAAUUAUGCUAAUGUUAUUUGCUUAUUGCAGCACUGCUCAAUAGGUUUGGUCGAGCAAAACGAACAGUAGGCCGAGAGACAAAUGUCACUCAAGCGCCGCGCGUUCAUUUUUCCUCAUUCGUGUUUACCAUUUUUCACAGAAUCCAUAUUCAAUUUUAUUGCUCGGGUUUCUCGGUACAGUUACUGCAUUUGUGUGUCACAGGAAUUUAAAUAAUCGAAGGAACACGAGAAACAAGAAUUCUGUUGGUUGCAGUGUCAAUUGCAUAUCACGUACCGAAAAAUCACCUUGGCAAGAGAAAAAUAAUCGAUCCCUCCUAAUCUCACGGGAACCGGCUUUGGCAUGACCGUUCCGAAAUUAAGUCAUCAGAGUGAUAUCGAACCAUUUAUAGAGGCUGAUCAAAGGAUUUCGUUACACAUGUUCCUACACACGCGCAUGAAUAAUUCAUUGACUAAUCAUGCAGCUUCUGACAGAUGUUUCGGAACAUGCCCGCCGAAACGGAGGGUCCGAUGCUCUGCUCAAUUUGUCUGAGGCAUGAUGUCUGAAACUGAUUUAUUUGGAAGUACACGUGAGUGGGGAAAAAUUUUGGAAUGAUAACAAGAUGCUAAUUUUAGCUGGAACAAGGUAUCGUCUCAUAAUUAAGGAAAAUAUCGGUCAAUUUAAUCGCAUGAAAGUAUUCAAAACAUGAUGUAAUUCGGUCACAAAUGUGCGAAAAUAUUUCAAUUUGAAUCACCUCUAACAGAUGAGUCAGAUUAUAAAAUAUAUCUGGUGAUUUGGGCCCAAUCGUAACCAUCGCAACCUCAUUUAACUGAAACGUUGAGAACAGUAAUUUAAAACAGAAAAAGAAAACAAGAUAUUGUCUUCGAAUCGAAUUCUAAAUAUAAUAUGUUGAAGAACCACGGCAUUCCGAGUCUGCACUUUUCACCGUCCUUGGUGAUUUCCACAACAAGAACAACAACAACAAAAACGGUAAUAAAAUAGAAGAAUCGAUAUUAACACUUCAAGUUAUUCGAAAUUGACACGCCAUUCGGCAGUUAGAUUCGCAUGUUUUCCCCUCCC